rnacentral:rRNA from 1 species
UAGGGAAUCUUCCGCAAUGGGCGAAAGCCUGACGGAGCAACGCCGCGUGCGUGAUGAAGGUCUUCGGAUCGUAAAACUCUGUUAUUAGGGAAGAACAAAUGUGUAAGUAACUAUGCACGUCUUGACGGUACCUAAUCAGAAAGCCACGGCUAACUACGUGCCAGCAGCCGCGGUAAUACGUAGGUGGCAAGCGUUAUCCGGAAUUCUUGGGCGUAAAGCGCGCGUAGGCGGUUUUUUAAGUCUGAUGUGAAAGCCCACGGCUCAACCGUGGAGGGUCAUUGGAAACUGGAAAACUUGAGUGCAGAAGAGGAAAGUGGAAUUCCAUGUGUAGCGGUGAAAUGCGCAGAGAUAUGGAGGAACACCAGUGGCGAAGGCGACUUUCUGGUCUGUAACUGACGCUGAUGUGCGAAAGCGUGGGGAUCAAACAGG